AAGCAAGGUAGAGGUGCGCUUGUGUAUUAGUAUGUAUACGGAGAUAUGCAAUUAUCUUUGAUGUAUACGGAAAGGACACAGUGCCGAAGUUUGAAUAUUAUUGCGAAUAUUCAUUCUGGGCAUAUCGUUAACAGCGGUAUGACUGUCAUCGUAAGGUGGGGAGCUAUCGCUGUU
rfam:Firmicutes bacterium CAG:41 genomic scaffold, scf118